AGGACGAACGCUGGCGGCGUGCUUAACACAUGCAAGUCGAACGGUGAAGCCUUUCGGGGUGGAUCAGUGGCGAACGGGUGAGUAACACGUGGGCAAUCUGCCCUGCAUUCUGGGACAAGCCUUGGAAACGAGGUCUAAUACCGGAAUACGACGCAUCCCCGCAUGGGGUGUGCGUGGAAAGCCUCCGGCGAUGCAGGAUGACGCCCGCGGCCUAUCAGCUUGGUUGGUGGGGUGAUGGCCCACCAAGGCGACGAC
rnacentral:rRNA from 1 species